rnacentral:rRNA from 1 species
GACGAACGCUGGCGGCGUGCUUAACACAUGCAAGUCGAACGGAAAGGCCCUGCUUUUGUGGGGUGCUCGAGUGGCGAACGGGUGAGUAACACGUGAGUAACCUGCCCUUGACUUUGGGAUAACUUCAGGAAACUGGGGCUAAUACCGGAUAGGAGCUCCUGCUGCAUGGUGGGGGUUGGAAAGUUUCGGCGGUUGUGGAUGGACUCGCGGCUUAUCAGCUUGUUGGUGGGGUAGUGGCUUACCAAGGCUUUGACGGGUCGCCGGCCUGAGAGGGUGACCGGCGACAUUGGGACUGAGAUACGGCACAGAAUCCUACGGGAGGCAGCAGUGGGGAAUAUUGCACAAUGGGCGGAAGCCUGAUGCAGAAACGCCGCGUGCGGGAUGACGGCCUUCGGGUUGUAAACCGCUUUAGACUGUGACGAAGCGUGAGUGACGGUAAUGGGUAAAGAAGCACCGGCUAACUACGUG